rnacentral:rRNA from 1 species
AGUGAGCGCUGGCGGUAGGCCUAACACAUGCCAGUCGAACGGCAGCACAGUAAGAGCUUGCUCUUACGGGUGGCGAGUGGCGGACGGGUGAGGAAUACAUCGGAAUCUACUUUUUCGUGGGGGAUAACGUAGGGAAACUUACGCUAAUACCGCAUACGACCUACGGGUGAAAGCAGGGGAUCUUCGGGCCUUGCGCGAUUGAAUGAGCCGAUGUCGGAUUAGCUAGUUGGCGGGGUAAAGGCCCACCAAGGCGACGAUCCGUAGCUGGUCUGAGAGGAUGAUCAGCCACACUGGAACUGAGACACGGUCCAGACUCCUACGGGAGGCAGCAGUGGGGAAUAUUGGACAAUGGGCGCAAGCCUGAUCCAGCCAUACCGCGUGGGUGAAGAAGGCCUUCGGGUUGUAAAGCCCUUUUGUUGGGAAAGAAAAGCAGCAGGUUAAUACCCCGCUGUUCUGACGGUACCCAAAGAAUAAGCACCGGCUAACUUCGUG